rnacentral:rRNA from 1 species
GGAUGCGAUCAUACCAGCACUAAAGCACCGGAUCCCAUCAGAACUCCGAAGUUAAGCUUGCUUGGGCGAGAGUAGUACUAGGAUGGGUGACCUCCUGGGAAGUCCUCGUGUUGCAUUAC